rnacentral:rRNA from 1 species
AGUGAGCGCUGGCGGUAGGCCUAACACAUGCAAGUCGAACGGCAGCACAGUAAGAGCUUUCUCUUACGGUUGGCGAGGGGCGGACGGGUGAGGAAUACAUCGGAAUCUACUUUUUCUGGGGGGAUAACGUAGGGAAACUUACGCUAAUAGCUCAUACGAUCUACGGGUGAAAUCAGUGGAUCUUCGGACCUUGCGCGAUUGAAUGAGCCGAUGUCGGAUUAGCUAGUUGGCGGGGUAAAGGCCCACCAAGGCGACGAUCCGUAGCUGGCCUGAGAGGAUGAUCAGCCACACUGGAACUGAGACACGGUCCAGACUCCUACGGGAGGCAGCAGUAGGGAAUAUUGGACAAUGGGCGCAAGCCUGAUCCAGCCAUGCCGCGUGGGUGAAGAAGGUCUUCGGGUUGUAAAGCCCUUUUGUUGGGAAAGAAAAGCAGUAGGUUAAUACCCCGCUGUUCUGACGGUACCCAAAGAAUAAGCACCGGCUAACUUCGUG